UACGCAGGGGGCAAGCGUUAUCCGGAUUUACUGGGUGUAAAGGGAGCGUAGACGGCAGUGCAAGUCCGGAGUGAAAGCCCGGGGCUCAACCCUGGGACUGCUCUGGAAACUGUAAAGCUGGAGUGCGGGAGGGGCAGGCGGAAUUCCUGGUGUAGCGGUGAAAUGCGUAGAUAUCAGGAGGAACACCGGCGGCGAAGGCGGCCUGCUGGACCGUAACUGACGUUGAGGCUCGAAAGCGUGGGGAGCAAACAGG
rnacentral:rRNA from 1 species